GAGUAUCUAAACCAAGAGCUUUGAUCUUGGUAUCUGUAAAAAAGAGGUCAUUUGGUCUCCCCAGGAAGCACAGACAUUUAGAAGGUCCUCGUACAACUCAUGCAAGUAUUUUAUUAACAACAAUUUCUAUUCACAUUUAGACAUCACUUGUGAACGUAAAUUCCGUGGAGCUUAUGGAAAAUGAGCAAGACUAUCAGUCCUUGUGCACACAAUGUGCUCAGGUGAAGAAGAAGCUGACCUGUUGUGGCUGGUUUCAACGAGGAAUUAGGAGACCUGGGUGUAUAAGUCGUCCAAACAAUACCUGACUCACCAUCAAAGGCUGAAGGUUGUGCCUUCCAGAGGCAAAAAGCAAAGUGCCCCUCAGUACCCACUGCCCCAGGUAUUGAGGCUGACCACAACUGAUCCUUUUGAAGCUGCCACGAGCCCAGAGGGAAUCACAGCCUGCAGGAGACCCCCAAAACAAGGAACACAAACAGGUGAAACUUCAGGGUUUGCCCUCUUCACUGCUUAAAGAGGGUCUGUGUCCCUGGCUUCCAGGCAAAGCAAUGUGGAAAGAUGGAUGAACAGAACUGCACCCUGAAAGUAAUCUGCUCAUGGAAACUAUCCUGGAAUAUUGGAUUGGGCCAGCUCUGUGAUGGUCAUGCCCAUUUUGAGACUCUCAUGUUAAUGCCACAAGAACUUCAGUCUCCUGUAUAAUAUUUCAGACAUGGAGGGGG